rnacentral:tRNA from 1 species
UGCGGGGUGGAGCAGUCUGGUAGCUCGUCGGGCUCAUAACCCGAAGGUCGUGGGUUCGAAUCCCACCCCCGCUACCA